GAUGAACGCUGACCGAAUGCUUAACACAUGCAAGUCAACUUGAACUUCGGUUUGGGUGGCGGACGGGUGAGUAACGCGUAAAGAACUUGCCUCACAGCUAGGGACAACAUUUGGAAACGAAUGCUAAUACCUGAUAUUAUGAUUAUAUGGCAUCGUAUAAUUAUGAAAGCUAUAUGCGCUGUGAGAGAGCUUUGCGUCCCAUUAGCUAGUUGGAGAGGUAACAGCUCACCAAGGCGAUGAUGGGUAGCCGGCCUGAGAGGGUGAUCGGCCACAAGGGGACUGAGACACGGCCCUUACUCCUACGGGAGGCAGCAGUGGGGAAUAUUGGACAAGGGACCGAGAGUCUGAUCCAGCAAUUCUGUGUGCACGAUGAAGUUUUUCGGAAUGUAAAGUGCUUUCAGUUGGGAAGAAAAAAAUGACGGUACCAACAGAAGAAGUGACGGCUAAAUACGUG
rnacentral:rRNA from 1 species